rnacentral:lncRNA from 1 species
AUCCACUUUUCUUUUAUGUAUUAUUGUGAUUUUUUACUCUCCUCUUUUAAACAAUCAUUGUUUCAAGCAUUUUUAAAACUAUCAGUACAUCAAACUUCUAUGAAUUAGGGAAGUAAUAUUAAACAAAUUCGAUCAUGAUGCUCCCUUCACAGAUCAUGUUUACCCUGAAUUCCAGCCCUAAGCUUUCUGUUCUCUUGCUGGACCACUGAGAAGGAACUUGUAAGCAGUGUGAAUUUGAGACCACACUUUCAUCUGUGACAGGAAGUCAGAUGUCACAGAAGAGGUCCUGCUAUACCGAGACAACACAUUGGGGAGGGAUCCAGAGAGAGAGCCUCAGCUCAGUGCCCAGCCAACAUCCAGCCUCCAGUGCAACCACCCACGACUUGGAGCCACGAGAGUGGAUGAAAUAGUAAGACAGCAGUGGAAGAGGAAAAUACUGCCCGGAACCAAGCUCUGAGGAAGACAGACAAUCAAGGUAGAGGAACAAGAGGAGAAAUCUGAGAAAUGUCCCAGAGAACAGGAGCAAAAGCAGGUGAGUGUCAUCAAUAAAGUGUUCUGGGCUCAUUCCCCUAUUUUUCUA